rnacentral:rRNA from 1 species
AAUGAACGCUGGCGGCGCGCCUAAUACAUGCAAGUCGAGCGAGAAGACGUAGCAAUACGUUUGUAAAGCGGCGAACGGGUGAGGAAUACAUGGGUAACCUACCCUAGAGUGGGGAAUAACUAGCCGAAAGGUUAGCUAAUACCGCGUACGCUCCUUGGACUUCGGUUCAGGGAGGAAAGCGAUGCCGAGGGUAUCGCGCUCUUGGAUGGGCUCAUGUCCUAUCAGCUUGUUGGNGAGGUAACGGCUCACCAAGGCUUCGACGGGUAGCUGGUCUGAGAGGACGAUCAGCCACACUGGCACUGCGACACGGGCCAGACUCCUACGGGAGGCAGCAGUAAGGAAUAUUGCGCAAUGGGCGAAAGCCUGACGCAGCGACGCCGGCGGUGGGGG